rnacentral:tRNA from 1 species
AAAUUUGCUCUGAAUAGGAAGAGGUGGCCGAGUGGUCAAGGCGAUGGACUGCUAAUCCAUUGUGCUCUGCACGCGUGGGUUCGAAUCCCAUCCUCGUCGUAGUCAACUCUAAAUAACUGAAUAUUAUGAUCAUUAUCUCAAAUGCAGUAUUGCUGUUUCGUGUAGUGAGAAAACUAUUAACCAGGACCCUCAACAUAGUUACCUUUUCUGAAUGUCUUACCUCCUUGAAAUGACAGAUCGGAAACAAGUUAGUGAAG